AUUACUGGAGGUUUGAUGCUUCAGUAGCUGCCUGCUUCAAGGAUUUAAAUGAAAAAGAAAAAAGGAAUAAAUACUUCCAGAUCUGGAUUUAGAGAUGCCAAUGAGAGACCAAAAUACAUCUGAAGAAAAAGAAAAACAGAAAAAGGAAAGUGCACUGAGAGACGAAGCCAAACCUGCGCAGAAGGAAAAAACAACAAAGAGAGGGGAAAAAAUGCCUGUGGAUUCAGAGAACACCGAAAAGUGCACCGGAUGAACAGCCUUGACAAAUAUCGACCAAAGUUCUCUCCUCAUCCAUACUGACCUGCAGAAAAUCAUUUUAUGUGAGAGAUAUUUAAGGAUGAGAAAGAAGCUGUUUUCUCACCUAGAAUGUUCUUCACAUCACUUUCAGUCAAUGAUUCAAAAUGAGACUGGAAUACAAAACACCAAUAUUUUUGAGUUCAUAACUUGAUGACUAUAACUGUACUGUGUACAUAUUUAAACAUAUUUAGAUUUAAUAUUGUGCACACAGUCUAUAUGUGUCAUAUGAAAGUAUUAUAUCAGACAAUGUUAAAGCAGUAGCACUGAAAUCAAAUUUUUGUACUAUUUGAACUGUAGCUCUACAUAGUUCUCAUUUCUAGUAUGCGCAGAAUUGAGAACAAUGACUGUAAAGCAAUAGUUGUUCCAGAAAUGCCAGGUCACUCUUUUCCAUGUGAUCAUACAGUGAGACUGGAGAUUUCAGAAUGAGACUGGAAUACACAACUUGAUGACUAUAACUGUACUGU